UUACUGGUUUGCACAUAUGUACCUUGCAAAUUUUAUUUCUAUCAAGUCCAAAAUAUGGAAGUUACUCAAGUUUUUUUUCAUAUUUCAUUAAUAUCCUCUAGAGAAUUGAAUUUGCUUCUUGUUUUGUGCCUCUAUCCGAUUGCUAUGCAUAUGUAUAGUUACUUCUCCGAUCGUUACCUGAAUUUAUUAUGCUGUGCAACACUCGGCUGUCAAAAAUACAAAUAUGGUAUAUUAAAAAAAAGUAUUAUUAAAUACAGGAUAUAGUUACUAAAAAAUCCAAAAUAUUUAUAUAAUCUACAUUUACACACUUCGAAUCAGAAGAUUUUUCUUCUUAUGAAACAAUUAUAAUGUGCAAAUUAAGGAAGCAUCACUGUGCCUUUUUAUAGCACAGCAUACAGGAACACAAACAAUGUCAGCCUCGAAAUCCAGCGCAGAAUCACUCUUGCCUACAGGUGCUACUUUGGACUGAGUAGGCAAUUGAACAGUAAAGUCCUCUCUCGACGAACCAAAAUCAAACUCUACAAGUCGCUUAUCAUUCCCGUCCUGCUUUAUGGUGCAGAAGCUUGGACGAUGUCAACAUCAGAUGAGACGACACUAGGAGUUUUCGAGAGGAAAAUUUUGCGCAAGAUUUAUGGUCCUCAGAACAUUGGCAACGGCGAAUACCGCAGACGAUGGAACGAUGAGCUGUACGAGUUAUACGACGACAUUGACAUAGUUCAGCGAAUAAAAAGACAGCGGCUACGCUGGGUAGGUCAUCGUAAAUAUAUAAAUCUUGCACAAAUUUUUUCUCUCGAAAACUCCUAGUGUCGCCUGAUGUUGAAGUCGUCCUCGCUUCUGCACCAUAAAGCAGGACCGGAAUAAGCUAUUUGUAGAGUUUGAUUUUGGUUCGUCGAGAGAGAACUUUGCUUUUUAAUAGCUUACUCAAUAUAAAGUAGCGCCUGUUGGCAAGAGUGACUCUGCUUUGGAUUUAUUUGGUAUCUACUUCUUUUCCUUCUUUACUGUCGUAGACACCGCUUACGGGGUUAUAGCCGGUUUUGAUGCUGAUGCCUAGGUAUACGAAAUUAUCUACAACUUCAAAGUUUUGACUGUCAGCAGUGACUUGGGAGCCAAGACGCGAAUGCGCUGACUGUUUGUUUGAUUACAGGAGAUAUUUCGUCUUAUCCUCGCGCGGUUUUGUUUCCCAUGAUAACAUUUAUUUCUUAUUAAUAACAAAAAUACUUAUUAAUAACAAUGAAUAUGAAAAAAAAACAUUACAAAAUUAAGUAUAUGUUUUCCUUUGACAAUACUCAGCGCAUGCUGCAAUUGCAAACAAUUUUGUAUUUGUGGGAUAGGCACUUUAGCGGAGGCUCUUAACCGGGAAUUUUAUAUGUAAAUUUAGAGAAAAAACAACGAUGCCGUAAAAUAUUGUCCCUUAAGCGGGAAAGGCACUUAAACGGGGACACUUAAGCGGGGAUCACUGUAUAUAUGUAAAUAUGAGGUGACUAGUGAUGGCAUGAUUAAUCAUAUUGUAACGGAUUUCCAAAAUCUGUCGUUUACUCUAAAACUCUACCCUGAGUUCGAUCACUGGAUUGUCAAAUAAAAAUCACACUUUAAUGGCUAUACACUAAUCUUGAUUUCUAAAUCCUUAUAACUUAACACUUUAGUACUCAAUACUCUACUUUACAACUCUAACUUACAACUUGUUUACACUUUAUUCAACAACUCUCGCCUUAGAAUUGUGCUUACUCGACAACUCUCUUAUUGGAACUGUGUCUUGCUGCCAGUCCGGCAGCCCUUAUAUAGUCGAUUGUUGGCAAUACAUAGCCACUCGAACAUUCUGGCAACUACGAAUAUCGAUGUCUGGAUAAAUCUGGCAAGUUAUCGAUUUCGAUUGUCGAUUCUAGUUUGAUCUGCUAUCAUUUUCGUUAAAAUAUUGUAACGGAUUUCCAAAAUCUGCCGUUUACUCUAAAACUCUACCCUGAGUUCGAUCACUGGAUUGUCAAAUAAAAGUCACACUUUAAUGGCUAUACACUAAUCUUUAUUUCUAAUUCCUUAUAACUUAACACUUUAGUACUCAAUACUCUACUUUACAACUCUAACUUAUAACUUGUUUACACUUUGCUCGACAACUCUCUCCUUAGAAUUGUCCUCACUCGACAACUCUCUUAUCAGAACUGUGUCUUGCUGCCAGCCCGGCAGCCCUUAUAUAGUCGAUUGCUAGCAUGUUAUCGUCACUCGAACAUUCUGGCAACUACGAAUAUCGAUGUCUAGAUACAUCUGGCAAGUUAUCGCUUUCGAUUGUCUAUUCUAGUUUGUUCUGGUGCCAUUUUCGUUACAAUAUUAUAUGCAAUAAUCGAUUAUUUUGUUUCAUACAACGAUUUAAUUCCAUUGAUUUAUGGGUUGCAAAUAAUUGAAUCAUUAAUCGAUUAUUCGACAAAUUAAUCGUAUGAUAUAAUUUGUAUCAUUAUAUUUUUUGGCGCCAUAUUUAUUGUGAACCAGAAGUUUUGUGAAAAAUUAUAAAAAAUGGCUCUGACGCCAAGUAAAAAUAUGAUAUGCAAUAAUCGAUUAUUUUGUUUCAUAUAACGAUUUAAUUGCAUUGAUUUAUGGGUUGCAAAUAAUUGAAUCAUUAAUCGAUUAUUCGACAAAUUAAUCGUGUGAUAUAAUUUGUAAUAUUAUUUUUUUUGCCGCCAUAUUUAUUGUGAACCAGAAGUUUUGUGAAAAAUUAUAAGAAAUGGCCCUGACGUCAAGUAAAGUGUGGCAAUAUUUUGGCAAAAAAGACGACAAAGAAGUCCACUGUCGACUGUGCUCUAAAAUACUCAAGUAUUGCAAAAAUACUACCAACUGCUUCAGCAUUUAAAGUUCAAGCAUGUCAAAGAGUUUGCAUCACUCAAGGUGACACAAGCCGGAACCGAAACGGAAGAAAUUGAGAUGCCUAGCACAAGGCGUAUUUUAACAUCAGUUCCCCAGCCAGCCAACAACAUCAAAUACUUUUAAUUUAGUUUGCACGAAUGCCUUAGAGAUUGAUGACGCUGCUAAUCUAGCAGCCAAAUGUCGUUCUAUUGUCCUCUGGUUGAACCGCAACGGCAGAUCUAAAGAAAACUCGUAUCAGCUGCAGGUUUCUGCUGGCGUAUCAGAGGGAAAUCGAUGUUAAAAUCAAGUUGUCAAGCUUAUUUCUUAUAUCGGCCAAGUUCUUUUUAAUUUUUCGGAUGUACCGCAGAUGAUAUCGACAAAAGACAAAAAUGAUAUAAUUGAAAUUAUUGCCUUGCUCAAGCCACUGGAAGCUAUGGCAACACAGAUAAGUGGGAAGAAAUAUGCAACUUUGAGCCAAGUGAUACCCAUUACUCAUUGUGGACGCUAACAAAUAAUGAGAGUAGUGUGCACGUCAUCUACGGGAAAUAAGCUAAAAGCGGCUAUAUUGUCACAUUUUGGUCGGCUGUUCGGAUCCAUGGAACAUUCGUUCUUAUUAGCCGCAUUCACAUUUUUGGAUCCGCGCUUUAAGAAAACACAUUUUAAAGAUCCACUGGCAUUGGCUUCAGUUAUGAAGCAUAUACGGAAUGAAUUAACCGCACUUUCGCAUAUAGACGAAAGCAUAGAAAAUAUUAUACGAGUGACGGGAGUGUCGAAGAAACAUGACGAACCAUCUCAAAUCCAGGACGAACUAACGUUUUUCCUCAAUGCCCGUCAUGGAGCUAAAAACUAAUGUGGUCAAUACCUGGGAGAAGAUGAAACAGUAUUUUCAAAAUUGUACACAAUUGCCAAUAUUCCCAAUUGGCACUUAGUCCCGGCGGACUAUUGUAAACUAUGUAAAAUUAAUGUUUGUAUUUAUUAUUGAUGGUAAAACUAAAAGAAAAUAAUAAAAUCACAUGAUUAAUCGAUAAUUUUAAUUUUUUAGCGAUUAAUUUAAAUUAAUAAUCGCAUAGACUUAAUUAAUCAUAUAAUCCAUUAGUUAAUAAAUAAAUUUUUUUCCCAUCACUA